rnacentral:rRNA from 2 species
UUAAAUUGAAGAGUUUGAUCAUGGCUCAGAUUGAACGCUGGCGGCAGGCCUAACACAUGCAAGUCGAGCGGUAGCACAGAGAGCUUGCUCUCGGGUGACGAGCGGCGGACGGGUGAGUAAUGUCUGGGAAACUGCCUGAUGGAGGGGGAUAA